rnacentral:rRNA from 1 species
UUCGCCCUUAGAGUUUGAUCCUGGCUCAGGACGAACGCUGGCGGCGUGCCUAACACAUGCAAGUCGAACGGACGAGGAGGAGCUUGCUCCUCCGAGUUAGUGGCGGACGGGCGAGUAACGCGUGAGGAACCUGCCCUUGAGUGGGGAAUAAUGACCGGAAACGGGCGCUAAUACCGCAUAACAUAUUGGGAUGGCAUCGUCCCGAUAUCAAAGGAGUAAUCCGCUGAAGGAUGGCCUCGCGUCCGAUUAGCUAGUUGGUGGGGUAACGGCCUACCAAGGCGACGAUCGGUAGCCGAACUGAGAGGUUGAUCGGCCGCAUUGGGACUGAGACACGGCCCAGACUCCUACGGGAGGCAGCAGUGGGGGAUAUUGGUCAAUGGGGGAAACCCUGAACCAGCAACGCCGCGUGAGGGAAGACGGCCUUCGGGUUGUAAACCUAAGUGAUCAGGGAUGAAACAAAUGACAGUACCUGAAAAGCAAGCUCCGGCUAACUACGUGCCAGCAGCCGCGGUAAUACGUAGGGAGCAAGCGUUGUCCGGAUUUACUGGGUGUAAAGGGUGCGUAGGCGGGAACACAAGUCAGGCGUGAAAUACCGGGGCUCAACUCCGGGGCUGCGCUUGAAACUGUGUUUCUUGAGUGAAGUAGAGGCAGGCGGAAUUCCUAGUGUAGCGGUGGAAUGCGUAGAUAUUAGGAGAAACACCAGUGGCGAAGGCGGCCUGCUGGGCUUUAACUGACGCUGAUGCACGAAAGCAUGGGGAGCAAACAGGAUUAGAUACCCUGGUAGUCCAUGCUGUAAACGAUGAUUGAUAGGUGUGGGGGGACUGACCCCUUCCGUGCCGGAGUAAACACAAUAAGCAAUCCACCUGGGGAGUACGACCGCAAGGUUGAAACUCAAAGGAAUUGACGGGGGCCCGCACAAGCAGUGGAGUAUGUGGUUUAAUUCGACGCAACGCGAAGAACCUUACCAGGUCUUGACAUCCGACUAACGAAGCAGAGGUGCAUCAGGUGCCCUUCGGGGAAAGUCGAGACAGGUGGUGCAUGGUUGUCGUCAGCUCGUGUCGUGAGAUGUUGGGUUAAGUCCCGCAACGAGCGCAACCCUUGUUGUUAGUUGCUACGCGAGAGCACUCUAACGAGACUGCCGUUGACAAAACGGAGGAAGGUGGGGACGACGUCAAAUCAUUAUGCCCUUUAUGACCUGGGCUACACACGUACUACAAUGGCCGUCAACAACGGGAGGCAAAACCGCGAGGUGGAGCAAAACCCCAAAAACGGUCUCAGUUCAGAUCGCAGGCUGCAACCCGCCUGCGUGAAGAUGGAAUUGCUAGUAAUCGCGGAUCAGCAUGCCGCGGUGAAUACGUUCCCGGGCCUUGUACACACCGCCCGUCA